CCGUAACUAUAACGGUCCUAAGGUAGCGAAAUUCCUUGUCGGGUAAGUUCCGACCUGCACGAAUGGCGUAAUGAUGGCCAGGCUGUCUCCACCCGAGACUCAGUGAAAUUGAACUCGCUGUGAAGAUGCAGUGUACCCGCGGCAAGACGGAAAGACCCCGUGAACCUUUACUACAGCUUGACACUGAACAUUGAGCCUUGAUGUGUAGGAUAGGUGGGAGGCUUUGAAGCGCGGACGCCAGUCUGCGUGGAGCCAACCUUGAAAUACCACCCUUUAAUGUUUGAUGUUCUAACGUAGGCCCGUGAUCCGGGCUGCGGACAGUGUCUGGUGGGUAGUUUGACUGGGGCGGUCUCCUCCUAAAGAGUAACGGAGGAGCACGAAGGUCAGCUAAUCACGGUCGGACAUCGUGAGGUUAGUGCAAUGGCAUAAGCUGGCUUGACUGCGAGAGUGACGGCUCGAGCAGGUGCGAAAGCAGGUCAUAGUGAUCCGGUGGUUCUGAAUGGAAGGGCCAUCGCUCAACGGAUAAAAGGUACUCCGGGGAUAACAGGCUGAUACCGCCCAAGAGUUCAUAUCGACGGCGGUGUUUGGCACCUCGAUGUCGGCUCAUCACAUCCUGGGGCUGAAGUAGGUCCCAAGGGUACGGCUGUUCGCCGUUUAAAGUGGUACGCGAGCUGGGUUUAGAACGUCGUGAGACAGUUCGGUCCCUAUCUGCCGUGGGCGCUGGAGAAUUGAGGGGGGUUGCUCCUAGUACGAGAGGACCGGAGUGAACGCACCACUGGUGUUCGGGUUGUCAUGCCAAUGGCAUUGCCCGGUAGCUAAGUGCGGAAAAGAUAAGUGCUGAAAGCAUCUAAGCACGAAACUUGCCCCGAGAUGAGUUCUCCCUGACUCCUUGAGAGUCCUGAAGGGACGUUGAAGACUACGACGUUGAUAGGCCGGGUGUGUAAGCGCAGCGAUGCGUUGAGCUAACCGGUACUAAUGACCCGUGAGGCUUAACCUUACAACGCCAGAGGCGUUU
rnacentral:rRNA from 1 species